GACGUAGGGGGCGAGCGUUGUCCGGAUUUAUUGGGCGUAAAGCGCGCGUAGGCGGCCGCUCAAGUCGGGUGUGAAAACCCGGGGGCUCAACCCCGGGCCUGCAUUCGAUACUGGGUGGCUAGAGGCAGGCAGGGGAGAGUGGAAUUCCGUGGUGUAGCGGUGAAAUGCGCAGAUAUCAGGAGGAACACCGGUGGCGAAGGCGGCUCUCUGGGCCUGUCCUGACGCUCAGGCGCGAAAGCUAGGGGAGCAAACAGG
rnacentral:rRNA from 1 species